rnacentral:rRNA from 1 species
UACGGAGGGUGCAAGCGUUAAUCGGAAUUACUGGGCGUAAAGCGCGCGUAGGUGGUUGAAUAAGUCGAUUGUGAAAUCCCCGGGCUUAACCUGGGAAUUGCAUUCGAUACUGUUCAGCUAGAGUGUGGUAGAGGGAAGCGGAAUUCCGGGUGUAGCGGUGAAAUGCGUAGAUAUCCGGAGGAACACCAGUGGCGAAGGCGGAGCUUCCGUCGG